rnacentral:lncRNA from 1 species
UCUUCUUUAUAUCCAAAACCCAGAAUACAGGCAUUCAUGGUUCAUAAAAUUCAAAUAUCAAAAAAUUUUGCUUAUCUGGUUCUACUAUUAUUGGUGGCUCAAAUUUGAAAUAAUCCCAGACUUACAAUCUAAAGAUAUGAAAUCUGAAGUUCUCAAGAGAUAUCACAGCAUCGAUGACAUCAAUCUGAUGAGAUUCUACACCG